rnacentral:rRNA from 1 species
AUUGAACGCUGGCGGCAGGCCUAACACAUGCAAGUCGAGCGGAGCGGCGGACGGGUGAGUAAUGCAUGGGAAUCUGCCUGGUAGUGGGGGAUAACGUCCGGAAACGGGCGCUAAUACCGCACAUUAUCAGAUGAGCCAACCUGGGAUGAGCUAGUUGGUGGGGUAAUGGCCUACCAAGGCGACGACCCGUAACUGGUCUGAGAGGAUGACCAGUCACACUGGAACUGAGACACGGUCCAGACUCCUACGGGAGGCAGCAGUGGGGAAUAUUGGACAAUGGGCGAAAGCCUGAUCCAGCCAUGCCGCGUGUGUGAAGAAGGUCUUCGGGUUGUAAAGCACUUUAAGUUGGGAGGCGUUACCAACAGAAUAAGCACCGGCUAACUUCGUGCCAGCCGCCGCGGUAAUAC